CAGUAGCCGCGGGAAUACGUAGGUGGCAAGCGUUGUCCGGAAUUAUUGGGCGUAAAGGGCUCGCAGGCGGUUUCUUAAGUCUGAUGUGAAAGCCCCCGGCUCAACCGGGGUGGGUCAUUGGAAACUGGGAAACUUGAGUGCAGAAGAGGAGAGUGGAAUACCACGUGUAGCGGUGAAAUGCGUAGAGAUGUGGAGGAACACCAGUGGCGAAGGCGACUCUCUGGUCUGUAACUGACGCUGAGGAGCGAAAGCGUGGGGAGCGAACAGGAUUAGAUACCCGUGUAGUCCCUGUCUCUUAUAC
rnacentral:rRNA from 1 species